rnacentral:rRNA from 1 species
GAUGAACGCUAGCGGCAGGCUUAAUACAUGCAAGUCGUGGGGCAGCAGGACUGUAGCAAUACAGUUGCUGGUGACCGGCAAACGGGUGCGGAACACGUACGCAACUUACCCUGAACUGGGGGAUAGCCCGGGGAAACCCGGAUUAAUACCCCGUAAUAUAAUGGAGUGGCAUCACUUUAUUAUUAAAGCUCCGGCGGUUCGGGAUGGGCGUGCGGCGGAUUAGGUAGUUGGUUGAGGUAACGGCUCACCAAGCCUACGAUCAGUAACUGGUGUGAGAGCACGACCAGUAAAACGGACACUGAACCAGGGGCCGGACUCCACCGGGAGGCAGAAGUAAGGGAUAUUGGGCAAUGGAGGCAACUCUAACCCAGCCAUGCCGCGUGAAGGAUGAAGGCCCUUUGGUUUGUAAACUUUUUUUAUAGGGGACGAAACCUGUUUAUUCUUACGCAGUUGACGGUACCCUAGGAAUAAGCACCGGCUAACUCCG